rnacentral:rRNA from 1 species
AAGCGGCGGAGCAUGCGGAUUAAUUCGAUUCAACGCGAAGAACCUUACCAAGGCUUGACAUAACCGAGAACGCCGCAGAGAUGCGGAACUCUUUGGACACUCGGUUACAGGUGGUGCAUGGUUGUCGUCAGCUCGUGUCGUGAGAUGUUGGGUUAAGUCCCGCAACGAGCGCAACCCUCGUCGCAUGUUGCCAGCACGUCAUGGUGGGAACUCAUGUGAGACUGCCGGGGUCAACUCGGAGGAAGGUGGGGAUGACGUCAAAUCAUCAUGCCCCUUAUGUCUUGGGCUUCACGCAUGCUACAAUGGCCGGUACAAAGGGCUGCGAUGUCGUAAGGCGGAGCGAAUCCCAAAAAGCCGGUCUCAGUUCGGAUUGAGGUCUGCAACUCGACCUCAUGAAGUCGGAGUCGCUAGUAAUCGCAGAUCAGCAACGCUGCGGUGAAUACGUUCCCGGGCCUUGUACACACCGCCCGUCAAGUCAUGAAAGUCGGUAACACCCAAAGACCGGUGGCCUAACCCCUUGUGGGAGGGAGCCGUCGAAGGUGGGAUCGGUGAUUAG